rnacentral:rRNA from 1 species
AGCUUGCUCCCAGGCGUCGAGUGGCGGACGGGUGAGUAAUACUUAGGAAUCUACCCAGUAGCGGGGGACAACUCGAGGAAACUCGAGCUAAUACCGCAUACGCCCUACGGGGGAAAGCAGGGGAUCUUCGGCUCGCGCUAUUGGAUGAGCCUAAGUCGGAUUAGCUUGUUGGUGAGGUAAAAGCUCACCAAGGCGACGAUCCGUAGCUGGUCUGAGAGGACGAUCAGCCACACUGGGACUGAGACACGGCCCAGACUCCUACGGGAGGCAGCAGUGGGGAAUAUUGGACAAUGGGGGGAAACCCUGAUCCAGCCAUGCCGCGUGUGUGAGGAGAACCUUUUGGUUGUAAAGCACUUUAGACAGUGAAGAAGACUCCAUGCGUUAAUACCCAUGGACGAUGACAUUAGCUGCAGAAUAAGCACACGGCUAACUCUGUGCCAGCACAGCCGCGGUAAUACGGAGGGUCCGAGCGUUAAUCGGAAUUACUGGGCGUAAAGCGCGCGUAGGCGGUUAAGUCAGUCAGAUGUGAAAGCCCUGGGCUCAACCUGGGAACUGCGUCUGAUACUGCUUGGCUAGAGUUUGGUAGAGGAGUGUGGAAUUUCCUGUGUAGCGGUGAAAUGCGUAGAUAUAGGAAGGAACACCAGUGGCGGCGAAGGCGACUUACUGGACCAAUACUGACACUGAGGUGCGAAAGCGUGGGGAGCAAACGGGAUUAGAUACCCCGGUAGUCCACGCCGUAAACGAUGUCUACUAGCCGUUGGGAGACUUGAUCUCUUAGUGGCGCAGCUAACGCAAUAAGUAGACCGCCUGGGGAGUACGGCCGCAAGGUUAAAACUCAAAUGAAUUGACGGGGGCCCGCACAAGCGGUGGAGCAUGUGGUUUAAUUCGAUGCAACGCGAAGAACCUUACCUGGUCUUGACAUCCUACGAACUUACUAGAGAUAGUUUGGUGCCUUCGGGAACUGAGAGACAGGUGCUGCAUGGCUGUCGUCAGCUCGUGUCGUGAGAUGUUGGGUUAAGUCCCGCAACGAGCGCAACCCUUAUCCUUAGUUACCAGCGAUUCGGUCGGGGACUCUAAGGAGACUGCCGGUGACAAACCGGAGGAAGGUGGGGACGACGUCAAGUCAUCAUGGCCCUUACGAGUAGGGCUACACACGUGCUACAAUGGCAGGGACAGAGGGUUGCGAUGCCGCGAGGUGGAGUUAAUCCCAGAAAGCCGAUCUUAGUCCGGAUUGCAGUUUGCAACUCGACUGCAUGAAGUCGGAAUCGCUAGUAAUCGCGAAUCAGAACGUCGCGGUGAAUACGUUCCCGGGCCUUGUACACACCGCCCGUCACACCAUGGGAGUGGAUUGCACCAGAAGUAGCUAGUCUAACCUUCGGGGAAGGCGAUGCAUCU